GUUUAAAUGUUUAUGCAUGUUUUGAUUUGUUAAUGCGUGCUAAUUGUUUUUGUUAUUGUAAAUUCUGUGGGUUUAUGCGUUUGAAAAAGCUUUAAUUGUGAUGACGACACGGUAUUUGCUUAAAUGUUUAUGCAUGUCGUGAUGUAUUGCCUCAGUGUCUUAAUGUAUUUUGUUCGUAUGAGAAGCUUAAAAUUGGGAUUCCUUACAUUAUGUUUAAAUGUUUGUCAUUGCUUACAUUCCAUGUUGUAUAGUGGCCAUAUUGGUUAUGUGGAUGCAAUUGUACUUGCAAUCGAAAAGUUCCUCAUAUCAUUGAUGGGAUUUACUUUUCCCUAAAGAUGGACUAUUUAAAUGGGCAACUACAAAGAGUUUGCAUUAGAUUUUGAGGUUUACUGCACAUUCAGAAUUUUUUAGUUUAUUUUUAUUUUUAUUAAAUGGUUUGUCACCUCUUAUGAUACAAAGAUGAAUGAAACAACAAACAACUUUAGAUUCACCUACAUUCUAAAUAAACUUAUAUUCAUCACCUGCUAUGCUAAUAGUUAGUCUAGACAUCAUCUAUUUUCAUAUUGUUAAAGUUAUGUUUCACAGUUUCAUUCUGAUAACAAUUGAAAGGCCUCUAAUUGCAGUGAAGUUUCUUUUGACUUCAAGGGGAAAACAUAACGAAAAUUCCAAGGGAGAAGUUCUAUGACAUUACUGAUAUGCAGCUUGAGUACAACAACAACAACAACAUACCCAGUAUAAUCCCACAAGUGGGGUCUGGGGAGGGUAUAUACCCAGGCCUUACCUCUACCUUUGUGGGGUAGAGAGGCUUGAGUGCAUCAAAAUAUAUUGACCUGGUGCAGAGAACCAGUUUUGAAGAACUCACUAGAGACGGUGAAAGGCAUGUUUGAAUCAGAAUACAAAAGGAAAAGAAGUGCAAAGAAUGCAAUAGUGUUCACGAUGGUAUGUUUAGUUGGAAGUGGAAGACAGAGAUUCUUAUGUUUAGUUGGAAGUGGAAGACAGAAAUUCUUAGUGGUGAUUGUUUUCAAGAAAGUAUUGAUGAACUCCUGUAAAUGUGAUGGAUAUGAGUCUAAAUACUGCUUUUGGAGGAUGAAGAGACCAACGAUCCCUAUUUUCCUCAUGUAUGACAUUUAUCUGUAUCAAACGAAAAGCUACAACUAUCAUUUACUAAUUAAAAGGCGAGAAGGGCAUAUACAUACUUAGAGACAGAGAACAUGUAACUUUGGUAUAUUAUAGGGGUGGCUAAUAAAGGAUUGAUGAACUCCUGUAAAUGUGAUGGAAUUAAAUGGAAAAAAGACAUGAAAGUAGAUUAGUAUCAAA